rnacentral:piRNA from 1 species
UGCAUUCAUUGUGCUAUUUGUUGCCU